GCCUCCGUUUCCUCUUCUAGCACAUGGGCAUCACCGCGUUUCCCUCACAGCUUCGCACGUGAGAUCACAAUCGACAAUGCAGUGAAGCGCUCGCAAUGGACUGCAGAUAUUAAGCAGUGAAGACAGUGAGUUACUCAGCUGAUUUGUUCCGUGGAGAGUCAGGCUACCUGGUCAUCCUACUCAAUAUCCAGGCCUGCCCGAACCUCAAGACUGGGUGGGCACCGUUCAGAGGCCCCCAGCCCCUGCCCUUCUCCUGCGAGGGCCGAGCUCACCAUCAGAUCCCUGGGGCUUGGAACUAAGUAGCCACUUCAUAAACACAUGGAUUUUGGGGUGCCCCGGCCCCCAUAAAGAGAUCAAAUUAUGUCUCCUGCAUUCUGCUGUAAUGAAAUGAAUCAUAAAAUAUGUUUUAGAAGAAAAUUACUAUAAAAAGUUUCAAAAUUGUUAUUUAAAAAGGACCCCGCCAACACGCAUAUUGACCCAAGGAAUCUUCGGGAUGGACUCUGCUUCUGAUCACAUCUUCACCUGCUCGAGGAUCACCUGUGGCACGUCGGGCUCUGAAUGCAAUCCCCAGGUCACCCCAUUUCAUGCGUCUGCAUUCUUAACCUCACUGCCCAUUAACAUGCAUCUCAAUGCAUCCAAAAUACCGCACCCCCAUCACAUCAGAGAGCAUUAAAAAUAAGCCAGCUCAAUGCACAAAAAUGAGGGCGACAAUCGGAAAGACAAUGAUGUUUCUAAAGAAUGUCCAACCUUAACUGUAGCUUUUCAGUUUCCAAAUUCUCUCUUCUUUAUCUCGUCAUUUCCCUGAAUCACUGGGGCCCAACAAUACCAUUCUCAGUCAGAUGUCUGCCUGAGACACAUCAUUUCAAAUUCACCGGUAAAAUGUUUGCAGUUACCAGAAGUGACCUUGUUUUACACACCAACAUGAUGAAUUUAUGUGGGUGGCUUAGUGGAGCUGUUCAUUUCCAGCUUGGUAAUAUUUUAACUAAUUAAAAGGGAAAAAUCAAUGAACAAA